GGCUAAGUGAGUUUCUCUUUCCUCUGAGGUUUUGUUUUGCCAACGUGCUUGCCUCUGUUGUCUAUCAGCGACUAAGCGAGUUUCUCUUUGCUCGGAGGUUUCAUUUUGCUGAUGUGCUCGCCUCGCUUGUGUAUUAGCGGCUAAGCGAGUUUCUCUUUCCUCUGAGGUUUUGUUUAGCUGAUGUGCUCACUUCCAUUGUCUAUCAGCGACUAAGCGAGUUUCUCUUUCCUCUGAGGUUUCAUUUUGCCAAUGUGCUUGCCUCCGUUGUCUAUCAGCGACUAAGCGAGUUUCUCUUUCCUCUGAGGUUUCGUUUUGCCGAUGUGCUCUUCUCACUUGUCUAUCAGCGACUAAGCGAGUUUCUCUUUCCUCGGAGAUUUCGUUUUGCAGACGUGCUUACCUCA